CCUUCAGUGAUGAAUAACAUCAUGACUUUCGUUCUUCUGAGAUUGCUGAAGCAGCUUUUUUCUGUCUGAGAAGG